rnacentral:rRNA from 1 species
ACACUCCUACGGGAGGCAGCAGUGGGGAAUAUUGGACAAUGGGCGCAAGCCUGAUCCAGCCAUGCCGCGUGAGUGAUGAAGGCCCUAGGGUUGUAAAGCUCUUUCACCGGUGAAGAUAAUGACGGUAACCGGAGAAGAAGCCCCGGCUAACUUCGUGCCAGCAGCCGCGGUAAUACGAAGGGGGCUAGCGUUGUUCGGAUUUACUGGGCGUAAAGCGCACGUAGGCGGACUAUUAAGUCAGGGGUGAAAUCCCGGGGCUCAACCCCGGAACUGCCUUUGAUACUGGUAGUCUUGAGUUCGAGAGAGGUGAGUGGAAUUCCGAGUGUAGAGGUGAAAUUCGUAGAUAUUCGGAGGAACACCAGUGGCGAAGGCGGCUCACUGGCUCGAUACUGACGCUGAGGUGCGAAAGCGUGGGGAGCAAACAGGAUUAGAUACCCCUGUGUCCCAUG